CGGACGGGUGAGUAACGCGUGGGGAACCUGCCCUGUACAGGGGGAUAACACUUAGAAAUAGGUGCUAAUACCGCAUAAGCGCACAGUAUCGCAUGAUACAGUGUGAAAAACUCCGGUGGUACAGGAUGGACCCGCGUCUGAUUAGCUGGUUGGCGGGGUAACGGCCCACCAAGGCGACGAUCAGUAGCCGGCCUGAGAGGGUGAACGGCCACACUGGGACUGAGACACGGCCCAAACUCCUACGGAAGGCAGCAG
rnacentral:rRNA from 1 species